GGCAUGCCUCAGUACGGCGAGUGAAGCGGCAACAGCUCAAAUUUGAAAGCUGGCCCCCCCGGGGGUCCGCGUUGUAAUUUGUAGAGGAUGAUUCGGCGAGGGCUCCCGCCUAAGUCCCCUGGAACGGGGCGUCAUAGAGGGUGAGAAUCCCGUAUGCGGUGGGCUGCCUUAGCCAUGUGAAUCUCCUUCGACGAGUCGAGUUGUUUGGGAAUGCAGCUCUAAAUGGGAGGUAAAUUUCUUCUAAAGCUAAAUACCGGCCAGAGACCGAUAGCGCACAAGUAGAGUGAUCGAAAGAUGAAAAGCACUUUGGAAAGAGAGUUAAAAAGUACGUGAAAUUGUUGAAAGGGAAGCGCUUGCAGCCAGACUUGUCCGCAGUUGCUCAGCCGGUCUCCUGACCGGCGCACUCUUCUGCGGCCAGGCCAGCAUCAGUUCGGGCGGUCGGAUAAAGGCCCCGGGAACGUAGCUCCUCUCGGGGAGUGUUAUAGCCCGGGGGUGGAUGCGGGCAGCCUGGACUGAGGAUCUCGCUUCGGCUAGGAUGCUGGCG
rnacentral:rRNA from 1 species